UACGUAGGGGGGCUAGCGUUGUCCGGAUUUAUUGGGCGUAAAGCGCGUGUAGGCGGCCAGGUAGGUCCGCUGUGAAAACCCGAGGCUCAACCUCGGGACGUCGGCGGAAACCAUUUGGCUAGAGUCCGGAAGAGGAGAGUGGAAUUCCCCGGUGUAGCGGUGAAAUGCGCAGAUAUCGGGAAGAACACCGAUGGCGAGGCAGUUCUCUGGGACGGUACUGACGCUGAGACGCGAAAGCGUGGGGAGCGAACAGG
rnacentral:rRNA from 1 species